UACGGAGGUGGCAAGCGUUGUUCGGAAUUACUGGGCGUAAAGGGCAGGCAGGCGGAUCCAUAAGUUUAUCGUUUAAGGCGUCGGCUUAACCGGCGUAGGGCGGUAGAUACUGUGGAUCUGGAAUGCGGUUGGGGAAGACAGAAUUCCUGGUGUAGCGGUGGAAUGCGCAGAGAUCAGGAGGAAUACCGAAGGCGAAGGCAGUCUUCCAAGCCGUUAUUGACGCUCAACUGCGAAGGUGUGGGUAUCAAACAGGAUUAGAUACCCGCGUAGUCCCUGA
rnacentral:rRNA from 1 species